GCACAUCAAGGUCUUCCAGGACUGCUGUUCCUUCAAUCACAAUUUUAGCGAUGGCUGGGAGAGACACUGCUGCACGUCUGGUGACUACAAUCUUUACCACUUCUUCUGGGAACUGUUCUUCACCAUCCUGGCAAAUACACCAUCAGGCAACGGAUUGCGACCUCUCUCUUUAUUUCCACCGAACUCUGGAGAAUAAAAAAAGCAAAACAAAACUUAAACUUACAGUUUAUUAGGUGAAAAGUCAAAACUGUUACAUUUAUGUGACUUGCAUUGUGCCAAAUAUUGAUUUUAAAUAUGUUUUUAAAAGAAUUAAAGAUUUCAUCUUUGUAACUACAAUUUAAACUGUUUUAAAUGCUGCUUUAAAUGCACCCUUUGCUAGCAGUAGGAUAAGGUGAGUAAAGUAAAUGUAACCUAAAUGUAGAGACUAUUUUAAACUGUUUUUGUUGAGUUGUGUUCUAAGGAUUAAACUAUAAUUGUUAGAUGUAAAAUAUGUGCAAAAGUACCUGUGGACGAGUCUUGCAAUGAUGUGAUAAACCAAUAAAAGCUCCUAUCCACCCUC